rnacentral:rRNA from 1 species
UACGUAUGGUGCAAGCGUUAUCCGGAUUUACUGGGUGUAAAGGGAGCGUAGGCGGCGCGUUAAGUCUGAUGUGAAAACCCGAGGCUCAACCACGGGAGUGCAUUGGAAACUGGCGAGCUGGAGUGCCGGAGAGGUAAGCGGAAUUCCUAGUGUAGCGGUGAAAUGCGUAGAUAUUAGGAGGAACACCAGUGGCGGAGGCGGCUUACUGGACGGCAACUGACGCUGAGGCUCGAAAGCGUGGGGAGCAAACAGG